rnacentral:rRNA from 1 species
AUUGAACGCUGGCGGCAUGCCUUACACAUGCAAGUCGAACGGCAGCACGGGUGCUUGCACCUGGUGGCGAGUGGCGAACGGGUGAGUAAUACAUCGGAACAUGUCCUGUAGUGGGGGAUAGCCCGGCGAAAGCCGGAUUAAUACCGCAUACGAUCUACGGAUGAAAGCGGGGGACCUUCGGGCCUCGCGCUUUAGGGUUGGCCGAUGGCUGAUUAGCUAGUUGGUGGGGUAAAGGCCUACCAAGGCGACGAUCAGUAGCUGGUCUGAGAGGAAGACCAGCCACACUGGGACUGAGACACGGCCCAGACUCCUACGGGAGGCAGCAGUGGGGAAUUUUGGACAAUGGGCGAAAGCCUGAUCCAGCAAUGCCGCGUGUGUGAAGAAGGCCUUCGGGUUGUAAAGCACUUUUGUCCGGAAAGAAAUCCUUGGCCCUAAUACGGUCGGGGGAUGACGGUACCGGAAGAAUAAGCACCGGCUAACUACGUG